AACUAACGCUGGCGGCGUGCCUAACACAUGCAAGUCGUACGAGAAAGUUGGCUUCGGCCGAUGAGUACAGUGGCGCACGGGUGAGUAACGCGUGGAUAAUCUGCCCUUAAGUGUGGAAUAACGUACCGAAAGGUGCGCUAAUACCGCAUAAUGCCUGGCAACAUAAGUUGUCCGGCCAAAGAAGGCCUCUGCUUGCAAGCUUUCGCUAAAAGGAUGAGUCCGCGUACCAUUAGCUAGUUGGUGGGGUAACGGCCUACCAAGGCGACGAUGGUUAGCUGGUCUGAGAGGAUGAUCAGCCACACUGGAACUGAGACACGGUCCAGACUCCUACGGGAGGCAGCAGUGAGGAAUAUUGCGCAAUGGGGGCAACCCUGACGCAGCAACGCCGCGUGAGUGAGGAAGGUUUUCGGACUGUAAAGCUCUGUCGAGCGGGAAGAAGUGUACCAUGGCUAAUAUCCAUGAUAUUUGACGGUACCGCUAGA
rnacentral:rRNA from 1 species